UAAGGAGGGUGCAAGCGUUACUCGGAAUUACUGGGCGUAAAGCGCACGUAGGCGGCGGAGCAAGUCAGGGGUGAAAGCCUGGAGCUCAACCUGGGAAUUGCAUUUGAUACUGCAUUGCUGGAGUACGGAAGAGGUAGGUGGAAUUGCGAGUGUAGCGGUGAAAUUCGUAGAUAUGCGCAAGAACACCAGUGGCGAAGGCGGCUUACUGGCCCUAGACUGACGCUGAGGCGCGAAAGCGUGGGGAGCAAACAGG
rnacentral:rRNA from 1 species